GCAGCAGCCGCGGUAAUACGUAGGGUGCAAGCGUUAAUCGGAAUUACUGGGCGUAAAGCGUGCGCAGGCGGUGAUGUAAGACAGUUGUGAAAUCCCCGGGCUCAACCUGGGAACUGCAUCUGUGACUGCAUCGCUGGAGUGCGGCAGAGGGGGAUGGAAUACCGCGUGUAGUAGUGAAAUGCGUAGAUAUGCGGAGGAACACCGAUGGCGAAGGCAAUCCCCUGGGCCUGCACUGACGCUCAUGCACGAAAGCGUGGGGAGCAAACAGGAUUAGAUACCCCGGUAGUCCCUGUCUCUUAUAC
rnacentral:rRNA from 1 species